UGGCUAUUUAUAGCCUUAGAUCAUCCUGACAUGAUUUGACAUAAAUGCCCUUUAAUAAUAUGACCGUUGGGUUGAUAAGAUCUGUGACAGGUGGCGCAUGGCACGACAACGGUCGAAACUUUCAACUGUGACAUUCCCCAUGUCUCUCAUAUUCCUAACUCUGAGGUUUUGAUAGAUGUAUUUUUGGGUUGAGCAUCAUGAGGAAAUUCAUUCCAUAGUUGUACCUCGGCCCCCUUUAACAAUAUGGUGUUCCUAUGACUCAAGUGUAAAAAUAAUAAAAC
rnacentral:lncRNA from 1 species